UACGUAGGUGGCGAGCGUUGUCCGGAUUUACUGGGCGUAAAGAGCGCGCAGGCGGUCGUACAAGUCGCGUGUGAAAGCCCCUGGCUCAACUGGGGAGGGUCACGCGAUACUGUUCGACUUGAAGGCAGGAGAGGGAAGUGGAAUUCCCGGUGUAGUGGUGAAAUGCGUAGAUAUCGGGAGGAACACCAGUGGCAAAGGCGACUUCCUGGCCUGUUCUUGACGCUGAGGCGCGAAAGCUAGGGUAGCAAACGGG
rnacentral:rRNA from 1 species